GCUGGGCAUGGUGGUGUGUGCCUGUAGUCCCAGCUGCUCAGGAGGCUGAGGCGGGAGGAUGGCUUGAGCCCAGGAGGUUGAGGCUGCAGUGAGCCAUGAUUGCGCCACUGCACCCCAGCCUGGGCAACAGAGCAAGACCCUGUCUCAA
rnacentral:SRP_RNA from 2 species